CGUUGGCCUGGUGCGGGCCGCGCUGGCCGCCGGUGCCGUAGCCAUCGGUGGCCUGGGUGGAGGACGAGCUGCUGGUCGAAUCGGCAGCCAUCGC
rnacentral:tRNA from 1 species